rnacentral:rRNA from 1 species
AACUUUCAACAACGGAUCUCUUGGGUUCUCGCAUCGAUGAAGAACGCAGCGAAAUGCGAUAAGUAAUAUGAAUUGCAGAUAUUCGUGAAUCAUCGAAUCUUUGAACG